rnacentral:tRNA from 1 species
GGGCCCGUGGUCUAGUCAGGAUCAAGAUGCUGGCCUUCGGAGCCGGAGAUCGUGGGUUCGAAUCCCACCGGGCCCG